rnacentral:rRNA from 1 species
GCGCACCAGGCGAGAAAACUUCACACUGUGCGAAAGCACGAUGAGGGAAUCCCAAGUGCUUGCACGUAAGUGUAAGCUGUUUCUCUGUUUAAAACGCAGAGAGAGUAAGGGCUGGGUAAGACGGGUGCCAGCCGCCGCGGUAAUACCUGCAGCUCAAGUGGUGACCGUUAUUAUUGGGCCUAAAACGUCCGUAGCCGGUUUAAUAAAUGCCUGGGUAAAUCGUGUAGCUUAACUAUACGAAUUCCGGGUAGACUGUUAAACUCGAGACCGGGAGAAGUUAGAGGUACUCCUGGGGUAGAGGUGAAAUUCUGUAAUCCUAGGGGGACCACCAGUGGCGAAGGCGUCUAACUAGAACGGGUCUGACGGUGAGGGACGAAGCCCUGGGGCGCAAACGGGAUUAGAUACCCGUGUAGU